rnacentral:miRNA from 2 species
GUUCAAGAAAGCCCAUGGAAA